rnacentral:rRNA from 1 species
UGCCAGCCGCCGCGGUAAUACGGAGGGGGUUAGCGUUGUUCGGAAUUACUGGGCGUAAAGAGCAUGUAGGCGGAUGAAUUAGUCAGAGGUGAAAGCCCCGAGCUCAACUUGGGAACUGCCUUUGAUACUGUUUAUCUAGAGUCCGAGAGAGGUUAGUGGAAUUCCCAGUGUAGAGGUGAAAUUCGUAGAUAUUGGGAAGAACACCAGUGGCGAAGGCGGCUCACUGGCUCGAUACUGACGCUGAGGUGCGAAAGCGUGGGGAGCAAACAGGAUUAGAUA